GCCGACAUAGCUCAAUGGCAGAGCAGCGCAUUCGUAAUGCGCAGGUUAUGGGUUCAAGUCCCAUUGUCGGCUCCA
rnacentral:tRNA from 1 species